rnacentral:rRNA from 1 species
CAAGUCGAACGAUGAUGCCCAGCUUGCUGGGUGGAUUAGUGGCGAACGGGUGAGUAACACGUGAGUAACCUGCCCCUGACUCUGGGAUAAGCGUUGGAAACGACGUCUAAUACUGGAUAUGACUGCCGGCCGCAUGGUCUGGUGGUGGAAAGAUUUUUUGGUUGGGGAUGGACUCGCGGCCUAUCAGCUUGUUGGUGAGGUAAUGGCUCACCAAGGCGACGACGGGUAGCCGGCCUGAGAGGGUGACCGGCCACACUGGGACUGAGACACGGCCCAGACUCCUACGGGAGGCAGCAGUGGGGAAUAUUGCACAAUGGGCGAAAGCCUGAUGCAGCAACGCCGCGUGAGGGAUGACGGCCUUCGGGUUGUAAACCUCUUUUAGUAGGGAAGAAGCGAAAGUGACGGUACCUGCAGAAAAAGCACCGGCUAACUACGUGCCAGCAGCCGCGGUAAUACGUAGGGUGCAAGCGUUGUCCGGAAUUAUUGGGCGUAAAGAGCUCGUAGGCGGUUUGUCGCGUCUGCUGUGAAAUCCCGAGGCUCAACCUCGGGCUUGCAGUGGGUACGGGCAGACUAGAGUGCGGUAGGGGAGAUUGGAAUUCCUGGUGUAGCGGUGGAAUGCGCAGAUAUCAGGAGGAACACCGAUGGCGAAGGCAGAUCUCUGGGCCGUAACUGACGCUGAGGAGCGAAAGCGUGGGGAGCGAACAGGAUUAGAUACCCUGGUAGUCCACGCCGUAAACGUUGGGCGCUAGAUGUAGGGACCUUUCCACGGUUUCUGUGUCGUAGCUAACGCAUUAAGCGCCCCGCCUGGGGAGUACGGCCGCAAGGCUAAAACUCAAAGGAAUUGACGGGGGCCCGCACAAGCGGCGGAGCAUGCGGAUUAAUUCGAUGCAACGCGAAGAACCUUACCAAGGCUUGACAUACACCGGAAACGGCCAGAGAUGGUCGCCCCCUUGUGGUCGGUGUACAGGUGGUGCAUGGUUGUCGUCAGCUCGUGUCGUGAGAUGUUGGGUUAAGUCCCGCAACGAGCGCAACCCUCGUUCUAUGUUGCCAGCGCGUUAUGGCGGGGACUCAUAGGAGACUGCCGGGGUCAACUCGGAGGAAGGUGGGGAUGACGUCAAAUCAUCAUGCCCCUUAUGUCUUGGGCUUCACGCAUGCUACAAUGGCCGGUACAAAGGGCUGCGAUACCGUAAGGUGGAGCGAAUCCCAAAAAGCCGGUCUCAGUUCGGAUUGAGGUCUGCAACUCGACCUCAUGAAGUCGGAGUCGCUAGUAAUCGCAGAUCAGCAACGCUGCGGUGAAUACGUUCCCGGGCCUUGUACACACCGCCCGUCAAGUCAUGAAAGUCGGUAACACCCGAAGCCGGUGGCCUAA